GAUUUCAACUGUAAAAGUCAUCAACAACAAAAUUGUAUAACUCAUCAAGAUCUAUAACUUUUAUUUUGGUCAUUUCUUCAUCCGACAAAGUGAUAGUAACAUUGUUCACAAAAUUCAUAUCUCUCAUCUAGUUUUAUAAACUAUAACACAGAUAUGUAAAUUUUAUGAACAAUGUUACUAACACUUUGUCGGAUGAAGAAAUGACAAACAUAAAAGUUAUAGAUCUUGGUGAGUUAUACAACUUUGUUGUUGAUGACUUUUUUAGUUGAAAUC
rnacentral:pre_miRNA from 1 species